rnacentral:rRNA from 1 species
GACGAACGCUGGCGGCGUGCUUAACACAUGCAAGUCGAACGGAAAGGCCCCUUUGGGGGUACUCGAGUGGCGAACGGGUGAGGAACACGGGAGUAACCUGCCCCUGACUUGGGGAUAACUUCAGGAAACUGGGGCUAAUACCGGAAAGGAAUCUUUUCUGCAUGGUGGGGGUUGGAAAGCUUCGUCGGUUUUGGAUGGACACGCGGCUUCUCAGCUUGUUGGUGGGGGAGUGGCUUACCAAGGCUUUGGCGGGUAGCCGGCCUGAGAGGGCGACCGGCCACAUUGGGACUGAGACACGGCCCAGACUCCUACGGGAGGCGGCAGUGGGGGAUGUUGCUCAAUGGGCGGAAGCCUGAUGCAGCAACGCCGCGGGCGCGAGGACGGACUUCGGGUUGUAAACCGCUUUCAGCAGGGGCGAAGCUUGUGGUGACGGUACCUGCAGAAGAAGCACCGGCUAACUACGUG